rnacentral:rRNA from 1 species
GGUGGCGACCGGCGCACGGGUGAGUAACGCGUAUGCAACCUACCUAUCAGAGGGGAAUAACCCGGCGAAAGUCGGACUAAUACCGCAUAAAACAGGGGCACCGCAUGGUGAUAUUUGUUAAAGAAAUUCGCUGAUAGAUGGGCAUGCGUUCCAUUAGGUAGUUGGUGAGGUAACGGCUCACCAAGCCGACGAUGGAUAGGGGAACUGAGAGGUUGGUCCCCCACACUGGUACUGAGACACGGACCAGACUCCUACGGGAGGCAGCAGUGAGGAAUAUUGGUCAAUGGGCGAGAGCCUGAACCAGCCAAGUCGCGUGAAGGAAGAAGGAUCUAUGGUUCGUAAACUUCUUUUGCAGGGGAAUAAAGUGCAGGACGUGUCCUGUUUUGUAUGUACCCUGAGAAUAAGGAUCGGCUAACUCCGUGCCAGCCGCAGC